UGAGGUUCGACCCAGACUACCAGCAAACCAGUCUUUUCUGUUUACAGAGACAUUUCUCUCUUAGGAUGUAGCAGAUUUUCAUCUGGAUGGGUUUAACAUCAUACGCUUUGACACAAACGCAAGGAAAACAUGGAAGUCGAUUGGGAGAGGACUCUGUAUGGAUAUCAGCAAUAAGUUGGCAACAAACUUCAUGAUGAGAGAGACUGAGUGGUGAGACAAGCCCAGGGUGAAGGAAUUGGAGAAAGAGUUCAGAAGGAAGACCAAGUUGGCUGAGAUCCACUACAAUGACAAGAUGGAGCAGAAACUAGUAUCUGGAAAUGCAAAGGAGGCAUAGCAGGUGUUAAACAUCAUGAUGGGUAAAGCCCUCAAACCUGCAGUGAUUGAAUACCCCGACUCCACCUACUUUGCAGAGCAGCUUAACAGCAUCUUCAGCUUGUUUAACAGCUGCAACACACCAACCAAUUGGACCCUCCCAAGCCCCGGCCCAUGCCACCAAGCUCUCACCAUAGAUGAACAGUUGGUGACCUCUUUUGAGCAGAGUCAAUCCACACAAAGUCUCUGGCCUUGACAGGCUCAGAGGCAGGGUGCUCAAAGACUGCUCCACUCAGCUAAGUGGGGUCUUCACCAAGCUGUUUCAGUGCCUUUCGGAUUCAGGCUGUGUUCCAUGCCAGUGGAAGGAAUCCACCAUAAUCCCAAUCCCUAAAAAAUGACACAUGUUAAGGACCUGAAUGACUACAGUCCAGUUGCCCUGACAUUGGUGCUGUGAAAAUGUUUGGAGAGAGUAGUGUGUGACCACCUCUCCAGCAUGGUGGCAGAGAGACUGUAUCCACUCCAGUUUGCCUACAAGGCAAAACACAGUGUAGAGGACGCAAGUCUGACCCUUUUAGACGCUGUGGCCAGACACUUGGAGUCAGCACACCCCCAUACUAGGGGUUCGUUCCAAUACCCAUAAUGUUUAGUAUGCAAGAAAAAGAAUUAUUAUGUCCCAGUACAUAGUAUGUCAAAUGCAGUAUGCCAAAAAUGGCUAAUGUAAGCAGCAUGCUUUUCUGGCUAUUCUGACCCACAAUCCUCUGCAUAGUGGAAGACACAUCAACUGAGCCACCAAGAGAGCACAUACUGAUGACAGCACAUUGACAGUGUAAUGACGGAAGCCACAAUUACAGAUGACAGUGCACUGAAGUGUUCAACAUAUGGCCUAGGUGUACCAUAUUCUUUACCCUUGUCUCAACCUCAACCCUGUCAUCUUCAUGAGAAGUGGAAAGGAAGAUGGAAAAAGAAGUUUGUGGUGGAUAAUGGGCAGAAGGGCAAAGUGCAACCACCUGGGUAAAAAAGAUGUGGGACAACCUGAAGCAGAAAUACAAGGAUCUGGAGUGUCCUAAAGAGGGGGGUCAGCACAGAGGGAGGGGAGGAAACAGAAGCCUCCUGGAAAUGGUAUGGGGUGAUGGAUGCGGCAUUGGGCAGCAAGCCAUCCAUCACCCCACCAGUGCUUAUCCCUUCGGCAAGCCAGGAAAAUGUUGUAGUCUCAACUCCCUCUGUUGCUGAUCCAGUCAUUCGGGAUGACUGUACACCAUUAAAGGACCUGUGUGUAAGAUUUAGUGGCAUCUAGCAGUGAAGUUGCAGAUUUCAACCAACUUUAUACCCCCUCCCCUCACCCUUCCCUAUCAAGCAUAUAGGAGAACUUAAAGUGGCCAUGAAACUUGUGAAAAACGCGAAAGGCUCUCUGUAGAGCCAGUGUUUGGUUUGUCCAUUCUGGGCUACUGUACCAAGAGGAUCUGUUGUUGUAUCUCCAAGGUAAGAAAUGCAGUGCCAACCAUUUUUCAACAAUAUUCAAAUGUUGUGCUACGGUCUGUGACAGAUGUAUGAACAAGAGGGUCAAAGUUCAAGGCGCAAUGUUAUGAGAAAGUAGUAUGUCCCAGUUGUAUUCAUACUGCAUGCAAUAGUAUUUAUUUUGUAGGGGCAGUGGCAGUACAUACUAAAAGGAAAAGGAAAAGGAUGCGAUUUGGAGUAGACUUAUCCCUACAACAAUUACCAGCUAAAAUGGCUCCUUCUUUCCACUAACAAUGAAUGCCAAGACAACAAGAUAGCUCAAGAUAGCUCAAGAUAGAUAAUAAAUUAAUCAGGAGAAAAUAAAUUAAUCAAAUUACUCACUCUCAUAAACCAAAGCUGUAAGUUCUCUGGACACAUUGACCUCUGGUUCUCUGAUUUAAAGAAACAUUCACAGCAACUUCUCGCUGGAUAAAUGGAACAUUUAUUUAUAGCUAAAU